rnacentral:rRNA from 1 species
GGGUUGUGAGGUUAAGCGACUAAGCGUACACGGUGGAUGCCCUGGCAGUCAGAGGCGAUGAAGGGCGUGCUAAUCUGCGAUAAGCGCCGGUAAGGUGAUAUGAACCGUUAUAACCGGCGAUACCCGAAUGGGGAAACCCAGUGUGACUCGUCACACUAUCAUUAACUGAAUCCAUAGGUUAAUGAGGCGAACCGGGGGAACUGAAACAUCUAAGUACCCCGAGGAAAAGAAAUCAACCGAGAUUCCCCCAGUAGCGGCGAGCGAACGGGGAGGAGCCCAGAGCCUGAAUCAGCAUGUGUGUUAGUGGAAGCGUCUGGAAAGGCGCGCGAUACAGGGUGACAGCCCCGUACACAAAAGCGCAUGUGCUGUGAGCUCGAUGAGUAGGGCGGGACACGUGGUAUCCUGUCUGAAUAUGGGGGGACCAUCCUCCAAGGCUAAAUACUCCUGACUGACCGAUAGUGAACCAGUACCGUGAGGGAAAGGCGAAAAGAACCCCGGCGAGGGGAGUGAAAAAGAACCUGAAACCGUGUACGUACAAGCAGUGGGAGCACCCUUUGGGUGUGACUGCGUACCUUUUGUAUAAUGGGUCAGCGACUUAUAUUCUGUAGCAAGGUUAACCGAAUAGGGGAGCCG